rnacentral:lncRNA from 1 species
UGACUUGGUUAUUCUCAAAUAAUAGGCCUUGUCAUCGCGCUUUAUGGAGAAAAGUUUGCAUACUAAUGAUUUCUAAUGAAAAUUGCUGAAUUAAAAUUUGAGGUCAAGUGGCAUUAAGUUAAGGCAGUGAGCAUCAAAAAUGUAAACUUCAUCUUCUUUCCUCUGUAUAUAAAAGCAUGUCAAAGUAUAUAAUUUAGAAGUGUAGCAUUCUUGUGUUCUGCUAUCUCAGGACAGAACUAUAUUUCCAUGUUCACUAUAUUCAGUUAUAAAGAAAUGACCCCUGAAUCACCAUUAAGGAGGUUCAAACAGUUCAUAUACAUAUUUCUUCUGCAUGGGUGAAAGGAGAGAGAGAGAGCCUAGAAUGACCGAAAAGAAUCUGCUGAGAUAGCCAGGAUGACUCGCCUAAAACCAUUGGUACCAGGCCCUAGGAAAACCCUAUAUUAGGCAAGUCAUCCUUGGCUACCGAACGAACUCUCAUCUUCAUCUUAGGUAAUAUAGAAGUGUUGUAUUACCUGCAAACCAAUAGAUGAGAAAAUGCAGGAAGAAAAGUGACUUGAGUAUGCUUACACCAUUAUACUGUGAACUAUAGAUGCACUUGUCUUUCCUGAUUGAAUCUUGUGUAAAAUCUUCUUGUGAGCUUAAAUAUAUGUGUAGUAUAUGCUUUGGUUUAGCAAAUUGAAUCACGUGCACUUGCUAUAAUUUAUGUUUUCAGUCUUCAUUGUUUACAGACAUGGAAUCAAAUACUGAUACUAUCGUGGACGUGGAAAGAGGCGCAGGGAGAAUCAAAAGGA